rnacentral:rRNA from 1 species
GACGAACGCUAGCGGGAUGCCUUACACAUGCAAGUCGAACGGAGUGGCGAACGGGUGAGUAAUGUAUCGGAACGUGCCCAGUAGCGGGGGAUAACUACGCGAAAGCGUAGCUAAUACCGCAUACUAUUGGAGCGGCCGAUAUCGGAUUAGCUAGUGGGGGGGGUAACGGCUCACCAAGGCGACGAUCCGUAGCUGGGGUGAGAGGACGACCAGCCACACUGGGACUGAGACACGGCCCAGACUCCUACGGGAGGCAGCAGUGGGGAAGGUGGGACAAUGGGGGAAACCCUGAUCCAGCCAUCCCGCGUGUGCGAUGAAGGCCUUCGGGUUGUAAAGCACUGUUGGCAGGAAAGCGGUACCUGCAGAAGAAGCACCGGCUAACUCCGUGCCAGCAGCCGCGGUAAUUC